rnacentral:ribozyme from 1 species
GGGGGGGGGGUGAUGCCCAUGUUCAUGCAACUAACCCUUUGUCCUGGCUGCUUACAAUGAUUACUACUAAUAACCUCUAACAACCAUGGCCAAUAACUACAGAUGCGAAAGGCCACCAAGACUCCUUGUGAGUGGCUCCGCCUCCUUUGCCGUGACUGGUCCCUCG